rnacentral:rRNA from 1 species
UACGUAGGGUCCAAGCGUUAUCCGGAAUCACUGGGCGUAAAGCGUGCGUAGGUGGGUAAUUAAGUGCGAUGCGAAAUCCUGUGGCUCAACCAUACGGACUGUACCGCAUACUGAUUACCUAGAGGAUAUGAGAGGCAAGUGGAAUUACCGGUGUAGCAGUGAAAUGCGUAGAUAUCGGUAGGAACACCAAUGGCGAAGGCAGCUUGCUGGCAUAUUUCUGACGCUAAGGCACGAAAGCGUGGGGAGCGAACAGG